rnacentral:lncRNA from 1 species
UGCCCCCAAAUGAAAUUAAAAAAACGCUGAAAAACAAACGGGAAAACACUUGGAUACUAAAACCAUUUUUUUUUGGAAGCCAUGAAAAGGGUUUUGUUCAGAGGCAUUUCACUCACCACUCGCAAUUUCUUCACUCUUAUUCCAAACCCAGUUCACUCGUUCACCCCACUCGCCGCUUCAACUCGGUCUCGACUCAGGUUCUACACAUACGAAUCGGAUUC